rnacentral:lncRNA from 1 species
CUAUUCUCGUCUCCUCUAUUCACUUCCCUGUCUUUCUACACUUAAGAUAGCUACCGCUAGCAUAUCUGCCUUUUUCCUCAUUUUACGUUCUUGCUCCAUCUCCCUAUUCAUAUAUACUGUAUUUGCAAUCUCCAUUAGCUGUAUUAUGGACAUCCCUGCAAAUCCCUCUAAUUUUCUUUAAUUUCCUUUUACUAUCACCUUGGGCCUGGCUGACAAAU